rnacentral:rRNA from 1 species
GACGAACGCUGGCGGCGUGCUUACACAUGCAAGUCGAACGGAAAGGCCCUGCUUUUGUGGGGUGCUCGUGUGGCGAACGGGUGAGUAACACGUGAGUAACCUGCCCUUGACUUUGGGAUAACUUCAGGAAACUGGGGCUAAUACCGGAUAGGAGCUCCUGCUGCAUGGUGGGGGUUGGAAAGUUUCGGCGGUUGGGGAUGGACUCACGGCUUAUCAGCUUGUUGGUGGGGUAGUGGCUUACCAAGGCUUUGACGGGUAGCCGGCCUGAGAGGGUGACCGGCCACAUUGGGACUGAGAGACGGCCCAGACUCCUACGGGAGGCAGCAGUGGGGAAUAUUGCACAAUGGGCGGAAGCCUGAUGCAGCAACGCCGCGUGCGGGAUGACGGCCUUCGGGUUGUAAACCGCUUUCGCCUGUGACGAAGCGUGAGUGACGGUAAUGGGUAAAGAAGCACCGGCUAACUACGUG